rnacentral:rRNA from 1 species
GUGUCAGCAGCCGCGGUAAUACGUAGGGUGCAAGCGUUGUCCGGAAUUAUUGGGCGUAAAGAGCUCGUAGGCGGUCUGUUGCGUCGGCUGUGAAACCCCGGGGCUUAACUCCGGGCCUGCAGUCGAUACGGGCAGACUAGAGUACGGUAGGGGAGACUGGAAUUCCUGGUGUAGCGGUGAAAUGCGCAGAUAUCAGGAGGAACACCGGUGGCGAAGGCGGGUCUCUGGGCCGAAACUGACGCUGAGGAGCGAAAGCGUGGGGAGCAAACAGGAUUAGAUACCCCGGUAGUCC